CACGUAGGCACCAAGCGUUGUCCGGAUUUAUUGGGCGUAAAGAGCUCGUAGGCGGUUCAGUAAGUCGGGUGUGAAAACUCAGGGCUCAACCCUGAGCGGCCACCCGAUACUGCUGUGACUUGAGUCCGGUAGGGGAGUGGGGAAUUCCUGGUGUAGCGGUGAAAUGCGCAGAUAUCAGGAGGAACACCGGUGGCGAAGGCGCCACUCUGGGCCGAGACUGACGCUGAGGAGCGAAAGCGUGGGUAGCAAACAGG
rnacentral:rRNA from 1 species